rnacentral:snRNA from 1 species
AUACUUCGGCAGCACACAUACUAAAAUUGGAACAAUACAGAGAUUAGCAUGGCCCCUGCUUAAGGAUGAUGCACAAAUUUGAGAAGCAUUCCAUAUUUUU